rnacentral:misc_RNA from 1 species
CGGAGUCUCUCAAUUAAAUGCUAGAUUCGUAGCUGUUUUACCGAGUCAUUUCCAUGUCAACUACAGGGGGCUAUGUCUAGCAUCCUCCGCCGCACCUUCUCAUCAUCUGCUCAACUUGCCACCAGUACUGCCACCAUCUCUACAAAAUCACCAACUACUGUCCUCUACGAAGAGCGCAACUUGAAGCGCCUCGUACAGAAGUUCAAAAAAUUCUGUGAAAACAACCGCUUCCGGACUAAUAACGGCAUUUAUGAAGGAAUUGUUAGCCGCCUCGCCGCUGCCAAACGCUUUCAUUGGAUCGAGGAGAUCCUCGACGACCAAAAGAAGUAUGAUGAUAUAUCUAAAGAAGGCUUUAAUGCCCGUUUGAUUUCGCUAUAUGGGAAAUCAGGCAUGUUCGAUAAUGCCUACAAAGUGUUCGAUGAAAUGCCCGAGAGAAAUUGCAAGAGGACGGUACUAUCCUUCAAUGCGCUGCUGGCAGCAUGUGUCAACUCUAAGAAAUAUGACAAAGUUAAUGAGUUGUUUAGGAAUUUGCCACAGAAGUUGGAGAUCCAACCAGAUUUAGUCUCAUACAAUACAGUUAUUAAGGCAUUUUGUGAGAUGGGUUCGUUGGAUUCAGGGAUUUCUUUACUUAUUGAGAUUGAGAUGAAAGGUGUGCAGCCUGAUUUGAUUACGUUUAAUACACUUUUAAAUGGGUUUUAUGCAAAUGGGCGAUUUGUAGAUGGCGAGAGGUUAUGGAGUCAAAUGGUGCAGAAAAAAAUAUGUCCUGAUAUAUGGAGUUACAAUGCAAAGUUGCUUGGAUUUGCAUUGGAGAAGAGAACAAAAGAUGCAGUUGAGUUAGUUGAAGAAAUGAAGGAUAAGGGGAUUAAACCUAGUACUAUUAGUUUCAAUGCUUUGAUUAAAGGGUUUGUUAAAGAGAAGAAUUUGGAAGAAGCUAAGCGUUGGUACUGUGAAAUAGGGAAUAGUGAUUGUAAGCCAGAUAAAUUCACAUUUGCAACAUUGAUUCCUUUUGUGUGUGAGAAGGAUGAUUUGGGGUUUGCUUUUGAGCUUUCGAAAGUUAUCAUCAGCAGGAAGCUUUUUGUUGACAAGGCAUUGUUACAGCGUGUUGUAGAUGGAUUGUUGAAGGAGUCGAAGAUUCAGGAGGCGAAGGAACUUGCGCAGCUUGGGAACGACAAUAGUUACUGUCGUUAUAAGUUGAUGCUGCCCACUAAGGUGUGCGGUUCCGGUUUGAAUUCAGAAGAUAUCCAAGAAUUGGAAUCAAGCUGAAUUUUUGGUACAAUUUCAAUUUGAUUCAGUUAUUUGAUGUUUCAGUUUUACUUUGGUUUGAUUAUAAGUUGUAUGCAAAUUAUCAUUUAAGCUUCAAAACUAAUUGACAAUGCACAAUACAUGAAGCUCGAUUAAUGUUUGGACGAAUCCUUGGGUCCCUCUGGAGAAUAAUUUUUGUGUUAAUACUAAGGCUUCUUUAGGUGAAGAGGAUAUGAAGGUCAAUUCUCUUUUUCACAAUAACAAAAGGAGAUGGUCGGUGGCAAUGUUGCAUAAUCUUUUUCCUCUUAAUGUUGUGAAUAAUAUUCUUUAGAUUCUUCUAAGUUUUUAUGGGGAUGUAGAGUGACAUUUUAAUAAGAGAGGCUUGUGCACUAUUAAAUCUACUUAUCAUGUAGCUAUGGAUAUGAGUAGUGAGAACAGUCAGACUUCGGUGCAAGGGGAUUGGAAAAGGAUCUGGAAUCUUCAAGUCGCACCAAAAGUUUAAAACUUCAUCCGGAGAGCUAACCGUAAUAUUAUUCCAACAAAAACUAAGCUUCUUUCCAGAGUUAUUGAACUUGACCUGUCCUGCACUAUUUUUGGUGCUAUUGAGGAUCUCAUGCAUGUUUUUUUUUUAACUGUCCCAAAUCGGUGGGUGUUUGGCAAGCUUUGGAUUUGGUGGUUGAUAUUAGUUUUGUAACUUUUGAUUCCUAUUUCUAUCAGCUUAUCAUAGAUGUGGACAAAUGGCGUGCUGCUUUUAUCAAUGUGAUUAUGUGGACUUUGUGGACAUCCAGGAAUCUUCUUUUGUGGCAAGAUAUUUAUUAUUCAUCUCAUGAUGUUAUUUCCUUAGCCCAACAUAUGGGAGUCUGCAAACUCUCGAUCUCCUAGCUUUGUUCCAUCUAUGUGUCAGUGAGAGGUGUUGGGUCAAAUGGAAGUUGCCGGAAGCAGGGAAAUCAAAGUGUAAUAUAGACGCUGCUUGCUUUAACUUGGAAAACUUGUCAAAGUUUGGUUCUGUUCUUUGUAAUGAUGAAGCUGGCUUUGUUUGUGCCAUCUCAGGUUUUGCUCAUGGUCAUCACAUUCCAUGAGUAGCUGAGGCAUUAGGUUUCCGCGAGACUCUAAUUUGGAUGCGAGAUUAGUUUCCUUCCAAUGUAGAGUUUGAGCUGGAUUCUCUUGAAGUUGUGUAGGCUAUUCAAUCAUAAGAGGAGGAUUGCUAAGAAUUUGUUGCCGUGGUGAGGGAUUGCAAGGCUCCGCUGUCUCAAGGUGAAGGGUAUCCCUUAACUUGGAUUAAAAGGGAAGCAAACAAGGUGGCUCAUUGUUUAGCUAGGGCGUCUUGUUCUUACGCUUCUUUGCUUCUUUUGCUGUUUGGGAUCAUGUUCCUAAUUUCUUAUUUUCGUUGUUAAGUGCUAAUGUCUCUUUUCCAAGUUUUUUUUUAAUAACUUUCAUGGUCCUAAAUUGGAUGUGUUAGGGUGAUUUGUCAGUCUAGGUUUAGUUUGAGUUUGAACCUUUU